rnacentral:lncRNA from 1 species
AUUCCUUUUCUAUUUCUUAAUUUUCUAGAUUUUUUAUUCUUUUUCUUUUUCUUUAAUAAGGGAUCAUUCCCUUAUUUUCAUCGAUCAGCUUACUCAAUGGUAAACCAGAUGGUUCUGAUUGCUAGGAUAAACUACUCAAAGACUUAUUUAGGGGUGAGAUUUCAAUUCCAUGGCUUAUCAAGUAUCCAAAUUGAUCUUUAUAAUUAGAAGACUUACGGUGUUAAGACGAUACCGAUCUUUUGGGGGUUUUCC